AUUGAACGCUGGCGGCAGGCCUAACACAUGCAAGUCGAGCGAGCGGCGGACGGGUGAGUAAUGUCUGGGAAACUGCCUGAUGGAGGGGGCUAACUCCUGUAAACGGUAGCUAAUACCGCCUACCAUCAGCUUUUCCCCGAUGGGCGUAACUAGUGGGUGGGGUAACGGCUCACCUAGGCGACGAUCCCUAGCUGGUCUGAGAGGAUGACCAGCCACACUGGAACGGAGACACGGUCCAGACUCCUACGGGAGGCAGCAGUGGGGAAUAUUGCACAAUGGGCGCAAGCCUGAUGCAGCCAUGCCGCGUGUGUGAAGAAGGCCUUCGGGUUGUAAAGCACUUUCAGCGGGGAGGCGUUACCCGCAGAAGAAGCACCGGCUAACUCCGUGCCAGCCGCCGCGGUAAUUC
rnacentral:rRNA from 1 species